CCGUAGUUUAAUGGUAGAACAAUAGCUUCCCAAGCUGUUUGCACGAGUUCGAUUCCCGCCGGGU
rnacentral:tRNA from 1 species